AAGCAACCAAUGUAAGAACCUAUUCUCAGCUCUAAUUAACUGAUAUUAGCCUAUUAUGCCAAUGUGCCAAACAAAAAGUGGAAUUAAUAAUUAAAUAUUAUGAAUAAAUCAAAAAUGCUUCUAAUCUUAGAGUCUCCUGUUUAGAUUAACUUGGGAUUUUGCCCAGAUGACUACCUAUUGGAUAAAUGGAACUCAAGAACUUGAAAUCAAUUGGAAUUGAAGAACAUCACUCAUCUUUAUUUGGAUCAACACGCAAUUAAUCUCAACUGAAAGGGCUUAAGGACUACGGGGCAACCUUCAUCUUGAAUAAAUAGAAACGAAGAUUUAUUGUCAUUAUUCUUGAAGGAGGAUUCCAAAAUAUAUGAUUUCCAAGGACAUUGUUUUUCCUGAAUAGUCGAAGUGCUUCAGCCAUUAUUUGAUUAUGUUAAUGCGAUUAACUACUCUUGCUUUUAGUCAAGCAACUUUUAUUCUUAUGUCAAACAAAAUUUUAAUUUUCCCUCCAUUCAAUCUAAGAAAUCGAUUUAUUAUCGAUAGGCGGAGACGUUGAUGUGGCAACCUUCCUAUUUUUUUCCGCGUUAAUUGGUUUGAUUUUAUAUUUUUUCAUUUUUUAAGUUUAUACCACAAGUUUAAAAUGAAAAUCCUCUGUGAGGUGCAAGUGGUGAAUCGUGUGACCCAAGCGAAUCGUACGCCGCGGGCAGUUAAAUCCACUUUGGCCAUAGGCUACAAACAUAGCGCCCUGGAUUCAAAUGGGAAUACAAAAAAGGAACUGGAAAUUAUAUUUUUUUCAGAUACCCGUGGAGUUGGGACGUCUGCCCCUGACGAAACUCGUACUUCUUGGGAAUUGUCUGGGAGAACUGAACGAUUGGUCAUUUCUAAAUGGCAUCAAAUUGAGUGAAUCUCUUUGUGAAUUGGAUUUAUCUGGUGGUUAAAUGCCAAAAGCUGGUUCAUUUGAAUCUAAAUCACAAUAAUCUAACAUUUUUACCCUUUGCCAUGCGACGACUGAAGAAGUUGCACUCGCUUUAUGUAUCGGACAAUAAAUUGGAGUCUCUGCCAGCUGCCCUAGAAGACCUACACAUUAAUACCCUAGAUGUUUGUGGCAAUGCAUUUAAAGGACCCAAUCAUCUGGAUGUUCAACGUCUCGAGGGCACCACUGAGGCAAACACAAGGACCCAAUGCUCCCCUCAGCCGCUCUGGCUGCAAGCAGCUCGUUCAGUCGACCAAUUUAAACUGCCUAUAUACUCACUACCUGCCAUACUGAUCAAACUGAUAGCCGAGACACCAAAAUGUGUUUGUGGCAAAUUUUGUUUUCUCAUGGACUCGCUGAAUAUCUAUAAACGUAUACGCUCUGCCAAAUUUGAAAGAAUCAAGAAUUAUAGCUACAGUCCAGAUCAGUUUAUAUAUGUUGAUAUUGUCAAAUGUGGCUACUGUAAGAAUGUUAAAUCAUGCGCAUGAUCUUCCCUGAUGUUAGUUGGAAUAUUUUAUUUAUUAUUUUAGUAUUACAAUUCUUAAUAAAGUCUGAUCUAAAUGAGAA